rnacentral:rRNA from 1 species
AUUCCAGCUCCAAUAGCGUAUAUUAAAGUUGUUGCAGUUAAAACGCUCGUAGUCGGAUUUCGGGGCGGGCCGACCGGUCUGCCGAUGGGUAUGCACUGGCCGGCGCGUCCUUCCACCCGGAGACCGCGCCUACUCUUAACUGAGCGGGCGCGGGAGACGGGUCUUUUACUUUGAAAAAAUCAAAGUGUUUCAAGCAGGCAGUCGCUCUUGCAUGGAUUAGCAUGGGAUAAUGAAAUAGGACUCUGGUGCUAUUUUGUUGGUUUCGAACACCGGAGUAAUGAUUAACAGGGACAGUCAGGGGCACUCGUAUUCCGCCGAGAGAGGUGAAAUUCUCAGACCAGCGGAAGACGAACCACUGCGAAAGCAUUUGCCAGGGAUGUUUUCAUUA